rnacentral:rRNA from 1 species
CCUACGGGUGGCUGCAGUGAGGAAUAUUGGUCAAUGGGCGGGAGCCUGAACCAGCCAAGUAGCGUGAAGGAAGAAGGUACUUAGUAUUGUACACUUCUUUUGUCGGGGAACAAAGGCGGAGACGCGUCUCCGGAUGUGUGUACCCGAAGAAAACGCAUCGGCUCACUCCGUGCCAGCAGCCGCGGUAAUACGGAGGAUACGAGCGUUUUCCGGUUUUAUUGGGUUUAAAGGGUGCGCAGGCGGGGGAUUAAGUUAGCGUUAAAAUGUCGGGUCUAAACCCCAGCCGGCCGUUGAAACUGGUUUUCUAGAGUUGGAGCGAGGGAUGCGGAAUUCGUGGUGUAGCGGUGAAAUGCAUAGAUAUCACGAAGAACUCCGAUUGCGAAGGCAGCAUACCGGCUCCAUACUGACGCUGAGGCACGAAAGCGUGGGGAUCGAACAGGAUUAGAUACCCUUGUAGUC